ACAGCCAGUUGUUUAUUUAAAAAUUCCACUUGGUUUAAUAUUGUUAGAGAAUACAUGUCAGACAGGUGUGGAGAAUUGAGCAUAAACUAGGUUUGUGCCUACUGUGCUGCCGUAGAAGGGUUUUGUACAGGGUCGCGGUGCACCUAUGUUUAUUUUGAUUGUGAUUUUGAGGGUGGUAGAUUCCAUGAGGUUGGAGUUCAUAGUGUUUGGAAGGCUUUUGCAAUGAACUGGGUGAAAGUUUUAAGACAGUAGUAAAGUUGACCCUUGAACAACAUGGGUCUGAACCGCGUGGAUCCACUUAUUGCAUGGCUUUUUUCCAGUAAAUAUAUUUGAAAACUUUGUGGAGAUUUGACAAGAUUCACAGAUGGAACUGCAUAGCCUCAAAAUAACAAACAAA